UACGGGGGGGGCAAGCGUUGUUCGGAAUUACUGGGCGUAAAGGGCUUGUAGGUGGCCAACUAAGUCAGACGUGAAAUCCCUGGGCUCAACCCAGGAACUGCGUCCGAUACUGGAAGGCUUGAAUCCGGGAGAGGGAUGCGGAAUUCCAGGUGUAGCGGUGGAAUGCGCAGAUAUCAGGAAGAACACCAACGGCGAAGGCAGCUCGCUGGGACGGUACUGACGCUGAGACGCGAAAGCGUGGGGAGCGAACAGG
rnacentral:rRNA from 1 species